GACGAACGCUGGCGGCGUGCUUAAUACAUGCAAGUAGAACGCAGUUGGGAACGGGUGAGUAACGUGAAGGUCACUGCCUCAUAGCUGGGGAUAACUAUUGGAUACGAUAGCCAAUACCGCAUACUGUGAGAUGGAUCUGCGUUGUAUUAGCGAGUUGGUGAGGUAAAGGCUCACCAAGGCGACGAUACAUAGCCGACCUGAGAGGGUGAGCGGCCACACUGGGACGGGGGGACGACCCAGAAUCUUGCGGCGGGCAGAAGUAGGGAAUCUUCGGCAAAGGACGGAAGUCUGACCGAGGAACGCCGGAUGAGAGAAGAAGGUAUUCGGAUCGUAAAGCCCAGUUAGUAGUGAAGCGGUAACUAACCAGAAAGCCACGGCUAACUACGUGCCAGCAGCCGCGGUAAUUC
rnacentral:rRNA from 1 species